rnacentral:misc_RNA from 1 species
GAUGAAGAACGCAGCGAAAUGCGAUAAGUAAUGUGAAUUGCAGAAUUCCGUGAAUCAUCGAAUCUUUGAACGCACAUUGCGCCGCCUGGUAUUCCGGGGGGCAUGCCUGUCCGAGCGUCAUUGCAACCUUCAAGCGCGGCUUGUGUGUUGGGUCUCGUCCCCCGUGGACGGGCCCGAAAGGCAGUGGCGGCGUCCCGACAUGGUGCCCGAGCGUAUGGGAAUCCUCUUCCGCUCGAAUCGGCCCAUGCGGCGCUGGGCGUAACCAAAUUUUUUACCGGUUGACCUCGGAUCAGGUAGGGAUACCCGCUGAACUUAAGCAUAUCGAUAAGCGAGGA